CAAUAGCGUAUAUUUAAGUUGUUGCAGUUAAAAAGCUCGUAGUUGGAUUUCGGAUGGGACUUGCCGGUCCGUCGUUUCGAUGUGCACUGGCCAGUCCAAUCUUGUUGUCGGGGACUAGCUCCUGGGCUUCACUGUCCGGGACUAGGAGCUGACGAGGUUACUUUGAGUAAAUUAGAGUGUUCAAAGCAAGCCUACGCUCUGAAUACAUUAGCAUGGAAUAACACGAUAGGACUCUGGCUUAUCUUGUUGGUCUGUGAGACCAGAGUAAUGAUUAAGAGGGACAGUCGGGGGCAUUCGUAUUUCAUUGUCAGAGGUGAAAUUCUUGGAUUUAUGAAAGACGAACUUCUGCGAAAGCAUUUGUCAAGGAUGUUUUCAUUAA
rnacentral:rRNA from 1 species